CCGGGCGUAGCGCAGAGGCAGGCGCGCGCCUAGCUCAGGCGGUCACGUCGGUUCGAAUCCGACCCCCGGG
rnacentral:tRNA from 1 species